CUUUCUGGCCACACGAGCACUUUGCAGCCAGCACUCGCCUACCAGCUCGGUGCUCAAAGGCCUGCAGAGCAAACACAAGGAGAGAUGUUGCUCCAUCCUUACUGUGUUCCCAGGCUGAACAGGGCACGUCGGAGGGCAAGGAUGGGCUCCUUGGCCCUGAAGGAAUUCUGGGUCAUCUCUAGUCGAUCUGACCAAUGAGGAGGCAGCUGACUGAGGCUGGGGGCGGAGCAUUCUCUCUGUUUCUGCAGCUCAGUGAAUGUGUGCUCCAACUCGCUCAGCAUAUGAAGCCUAACCAGAACAAAAAACACAUAUGUUGGAUUUACAAAAUAUUUCUAACACAACAACCUGAAAAAAUGAGAUAAAUGCCAUAACACACACACCUGACGAUGUACUCAUAUCCUCUCUGGUAGGUUCCACACUCAUAACUGGCUGCAGAGAGAGGGACGAUCUGUUCCUUCCUCACUACCUUCAGCUUCUCGUAGAAAGUUUCAGCAUCCUGUUUCUUCGCUGAGAGCAGCAGCUGGCCGAGCCGCACCCCCCAGGACUCCAUUGACCUGAGUGAUGACUGUUGACAGCUGUCCCAGGCCCAGCAUGGACGUCAUGACCCCAUGAUAGUGACCAAUCUGUGGACAGAGGGAACAAGAAAGUCGUUAAUACCGGUAAACUUAUACAUACUCGCAGUGUUAAUGAGCGGAGAACUAAAAUGCAUUCAACUGUGGUAAGGAUAAAGAAAGCACAUUUGGAACUUUGCAAGAACUUUUCCCUGCACGUGCAAUCUUUGAACUCCAUCGUCUAUCGUCUGAUAAAGAUUUAUGCCUCUGAGAAAGAUGUCACAUUUUUUUUUUGCAUUCUAGUGUAGUCAGCUGUCAGCGACAAACAACUUUGUGUACUGCUGCAUAUUAAUCUACACAAAGUAAAGUCUGCAGGUUACAGAUGUAUUUAUGGAAGGCAUUACAGAAAUAUAUUUCAGAACGUUUUUAGAAGCCUGGUGUGUGUUUUUUUUGUGUGUGUUAAUGUGUGUACCUGGUCUGACUCCAGCUGUAUGGCCCGGUCGUAGCAGGCGGUCGCGUCUCGGAGAAGGCCGAUGCUCUCAUGCUCCAGUAUCUGUUCCCUUAGCGACGGCUCCUCUCUUCUCAGCGCGUUCACCCCCCUCACCCCAUCAGAAGACUUUUCUCUGACCUGCAGGAAUGUAAGAUGGUCCUGGAUGUUUUCUUUGUUUUCUAAUAUGUGUGCUUCGAAGUGCAUGAGAGCACGGGUGUACGCUUUGGAUCGCAGAGAGGCCUUGGCCAGAGCGUCCUGUGGGAUACCCUUCAAGAAAGCCACCACACGCUGAGGAUGUGGCGGCUCCACUGUGUGAGGUGAGACAACAUGCUGAACACAGUCUGAAUGCUGAGCUGUGACAGGCUGGAGGCUGUUCCCUGACAAUGCGCCCCCUCCUGGUCCCCCUCUGUCAGCACAGCCAGCAUCUCCUCUGUUACCUGGGUAGGAGAGGGAGGGGGUUAUGAUUCACAAUGUAACGAAAACAAACAAAAAAUCUUGUGGAAGCCGCACUGAUUCAGAUGUUUGUUCACCUCCUGUUGCUCUGCAGGCGUGCAGCCCAGCAGCAUGUAGAGCAGAAUGUGAGGCAGCAGGUAGAUGGUCACCUUGUAGUCGUGUUUGAUGAUGAAACUACAGCAGCUGAACACUCUGCUGGCCAGCUCAUGUCUCACCUAGAGCACAAUAAGACUUCUUUCAUACACAAUGUUGACAACAAACACGUGAGGGGUCAAAAAGCUCCAGCGACACUUGCUGAAUGAAGACAAACUUUAGAUUGAUGUGUUUCGGCUUGUGGCCUUCAUCAGGGUCAUCCAACAACAACACAUUCAAAUGUUUGUAUCAUUUGCCUAAAUGUUUGUCAUUUUGGAGCACGUCUUCAUCAUCAUACUGUCUCACUGUAAGUAUUGUGCAUGCGAUAGGAAUUGGCAUAUUGUCCAGUGUUUUCAUCAGUGCCUACCUCCAUCAAAUUUGUGAAUGUUUCUGGAGGCUGUAUGAGUUGUGCAAUAGCGUAAUAGUGAUCUUUUCCUUUUCUCUAAUUUAUGUUGCAUAUUUUACGCAGAUCUUGUACAGUAUAGAUAAUGGAAUGUGUUGUUGUUGUGCUCACCUUCUACAUGUGCAUUGUUGUUUGUGUCAUCUGUUUUUAUUUAUUAAUUCCACUGUAGAGGCAGCUCAAUGUGAGCAGCACUAGAGUCCAAAACAAAUUUCUCCAAGGGGGCAAAAUAGUGUUAACGUAUCGCAACAUAUCGUAUAAGACUCAC